rnacentral:rRNA from 1 species
CUGUUGCCUCGGCGGGGUCACGCCCCGGGUGCGUCGCAGCCCCGGAACCAGGCGCCCGCCGGAGGGACCAACCAAACUCUUUCUGUAGUCCCCUCGCGGACGUUAUUUCUUACAGCUCUGAGCAAAAAUUCAAAAUGAAUCAAAACUUUCAACAACGGAUCUCUUGGUUCUGGCAUCGAUGAAGAACGCAGCGAAAUGCGAUAAGUAAUGUGAAUUGCAGAAUUCAGUGAAUCAUCGAAUCUUUGAACGCACAUUGCGCCCGCCAGUAUUCUGGCGGGCAUGCCUGUCCGAGCGUCAUUUCAACCCUCGAACCCCUCCGGGGGGUCGGCGUUGGGGAUCGGGAACCCCUAAGACGGGAUCCCGGCCCCGAAAUACAGUGGCGGUCUCGCCGCAGCCUCUCCUGCGCAGUAGUUUGCACAACUCGCACCGGGAGCGCGGCGCGUCCACGUCCGUAAAACACCCAACUUCUGAAAUGUUGACCUCGGAUCAGGUAGGAAUACCCGCUGAACUUAAGCAUAUCAAUA